rnacentral:rRNA from 1 species
UACGGAGGGGCUAGCGUUGUUCGGAAUUACUGGGCGUAAAGCGCACGUAGGCGGCUUUGUAAGUUAGAGGUGAAAGCCCAGGGCUUAACCCUGGAAUUGCCUUUAAGACUGCAUCGCUAGAAUCGUGGAGAGGUGAGUGGAAUUCCGAAGUGUAGAGGUGAAAUUCGUAGAUAUUCGGAAGAACACCAGUGGCGAAGGCGACUCACUGGACACGU